rnacentral:misc_RNA from 1 species
CUGUCCUGUGAAUGAAUUUUGCAUAAGAUCAAAUUUGGGUGUGUACAUUAUUAAUGUCUGGCGCUGUAUGCAUAUAGUGUUCCAUCUGUUACUUCUAGAAAACAUGAGAAUAAUUAAAAUGAAAUUAUUUUCUCUUAAUCUUUAGGAAUGAUAGUUAAAAUGAAAUUGUUCACUCCUAAACUUUUUGCUUUUUCUAUCAAGUCUUCUAAGCGAAAGCUUUUGCUGUUGAAUCCCUAAAGCUUUUGAUCUUGUGCUAUUGAGUGUGUGUGUGUGUAUGUGUUUUUUUUUUUUUAAGCAAAAUGGUCAAAUUGAUAUCUAAUUUAAUGAUGACAUUAAUAUUUG